GUCCAGACUCCUACGGGAGGCAGCAGUGGGGAAUAUUGCACAAUGGGGGGAACCCUGAUGCAGCGACGCCGCGUGGGUGAAGAAGUCAUUCGUGACGUAAAGCCCUAUCGGCAGGGAAGAAGGAGGACGGUACCUGACUAAGAAGCCCCGGCUAACUACGUGCCAGCAGCCGCGGGAAUACGUAGGGGGCAAGCGUUAUCCGGAUUUACUGGGUGUAAAGGGGGCGCAGACGGCAGCGCAAGCCAGGAGUGAAAGCCCGGGGCCCAACCCCGGGACUGCUCUUGGAACUGCGCGGCUGGAGUGCAGGAGGGGCAGGCGGAAUUCCUGGUGUAGCGGUGAAAUGCGUAGAUAUCAGGAGGAACACCGGUGGCGAAGGCGGCCUGCUGGACUGCGACUGACGUUGAGGCCCGAAAGCGUGGGGAGCAAACAGGAUUAGAUACCCCCGUACU
rnacentral:rRNA from 1 species